rnacentral:rRNA from 1 species
GAUGAACGCUGGCGGCGUGCCUAAUACAUGCAAGUCGAGCGAACGGACGAGAAGCUUGCUUUUCUGAUGUUAGCGGCGGACGGGUGAGUAACACGUGGAUAACCUACCUAUAAGACUGGGAUAACUUCGGGAAACCGGAGCUAAUACCGGAUAAUAUUUUGAACCGCAUGGUUCAAACGUGAAAGACGGUCUUGCUGUCACUUAUAGAUGGAUCCGCGCUGCAUUAGCUAGUUGGUAAGGUAACGGCUUACCAAGGCAACGAUGCAUAGCCGACCUGAGAGGGUGAUCGGCCACACUGGAACUGAGACACGGUCCAGACUCCUACGGGAGGCAGCAGUAGGGAAUCUUCCGCAAUGGGCGAAAGCCUGACGGAGCAACGCCGCGUGAGUGAUGAAGGUCUUCGGAUCGUAAAACUCUGUUAUUAGGGAAGAACAUAUGUGUAAGUAACUGUGCACAUCUUGACGGUACCUAAUCAGAAAGCCACGGCUAACUACGUG